AAAAUUUUUAAAAAAUCUAUAUUUUGUUGUUUUGUUUGUUUUUAAACCAUAUGUUAUUCUUGCAGUAUGUAACUACUAGGUAACUAGAGAAGAUGUCCAAGUUCAGUUUUAAGGUUUUAAUGUUAUAUAUUUUUUUGAAAAAACUUUUUGAAUUUUAGAUGACUGUGAUAUACAUGUAUAUACAGUUGUUUUUGCAUAUGUAUCAACAAUUGGCUGAAUCAUGCAUUAAUUGAUAUGGCAAACAUGUUUUGGUAAUUCAAAGUCUUUUGUUAUUGUAUAAUUUAGGCUUGAUAUGUAGUAAAUUUCGCAGAUGAAAACAUGUACAAAACAAACAAAAUUAUUUUGGAAAUAUACAUGCAUAUCCAAUUUAUCGACAAAGACAAUAAAGUGUUAUUUGUGCAUAUUAUGUAUUUUAAUCCAAUGCAUGUGUUCAAAAACAUUUUUCUUAUGUG
rnacentral:sRNA from 1 species